UAAGUCUCGUUUACUUUCACUUUCGAUUUACCACUUCCGGGUACAUCGGCAGACUUAUUUACCGUAACGCAUAUAGGUAACCCGAAGAACUCGAGGGGUAUAGAAGUUAAAUUUGUUUCGGUCCUCUUCAGAUUUGAAGGAAUGGGUAGCACGGGUCAAAAAAUGCAGAUGUAUAGACAAGGAGGUAUAUGAUAAGUAUAGAAUAUACAGUUGUUCAAUAUGGGCCAUUAAUCAACUGUUUGCACUGCCUAUGAUCCUGAAAUAUCUAUACAUCAAAGAUAAAAAGGGAAAAGAUGAAGGAGGGUUUGUCCAUGAAGACCUUUAUUGCAACUACCAUCUUCCAGUUCCUUAAUUUGAGAAUGAUAUCAGAGAACACACAGUUACAGUGAAAUAUUAGUUUAAUAUAAGCCACUGAGAAUAGUCAAAUGUACUUUCCUGAAGAAGAUGAAUGAAAUCCAGCACAAAAAUCUUAAUGUGUAAAGAGUAUGAUUUUAUGGUGUUUGACACUAUGAACAUGUUAAUGUCACAAUGAUAGAAACAGAGUAAAAUAUCCACAUUUCAUUGCAGUUUUAAGUAUUAAAACUAGAUACUAGAUAUAUAUACCAAAGCUGAUAACACACCAGAGAUAAAGUUUUUCAUGGAAUCACAGUAUAGUCAUAUGACAUUAUGGACAUUAAAUGACUAUGAAGUAAAGAUUAGCAAAAAUAUUAUAUAUCAUCUACUACUAAUAUUGUGAGGUAAUCAUUGAUAAGCUCACAAAUUUGCAUUCAA